rnacentral:rRNA from 1 species
AACGUAGGGGACAAGCGUUAUCCGGAUUUACUGGGCGUAAAGCGCCCGUAGGCGGCCUGACAAGUUGGACGUGAAAGCUCCUGGCUUAACUGGGAGAGGCCGUUCAAAACUGUCAAGCUAGAGUCUGGAAGAGGAGAGCGGAAUUCCCGGUGUAGUGGUGGAAUGCGUAGAGAUCGGGAGGAACACCAGGGGCGAAAGCGGCUCUCUGGUCCAAAACUGACGCUGAGGGGCGAAAGCGUGGGGAGCAAACAGG